GAGCGGAAUGGAGGGAUUUAAAACGCCCAUCCUUUUAAAAAACAUGAACCGUUUCAAGUACAGAGUUUGACAGAGGGUAGACGAAGAGGAAUCAAUUCUGGACCAGAGGAUGUCUCCCUGCCUUUGCCCUGCCUGCCUCCCCCCACAUCCUUCUCUGGCAAGGGGAAUGAGGCUGAGAAUGACCUCCAUCCGCAGGACGAGACGUGUCUGCUUCGCCGUUGCCUUCCACCGUGAUUGUGAGUUUCCUGAGGCCUUCCCUAGCCAUGCUUCCUGUAUAGUCUGUGGAACGAGCAGAUUAUGGACGGCAGAGCUGUACCUUGUGAUUGAACAGAAUCUGAUCAGGAACCUUGGCCUGAAAGCUCGGCAGACUGAACGCUUCAGUGGGAUGCAGCUCAUUUGAAGUCAUCCAGACCUCAAGAGCUCCUUUCUCCUGACCUUUGACGUUGGCUGGUGCCUGGUGUGCAUCGUGGGGAGUUCCCCAAGGACCCAGAUGCCUGCCACUGUGCCAUCAGGGAGGUCUGGCCUCCAAAGGCCUGGGCAGAUCCUGGGAGAGAGGGAAAAAAAAAAAAAAAA
rnacentral:lncRNA from 1 species